GUAAGUGCGGGCGCGUAGCCUCGUGAAUGCGUCGUGGGCGAGCGGGGUCGCGAGUUAUGUGCGGGAAAGGGGGUGUAGGCGGCCAAUCAGGUCCGCUAGGAAACAUCGGGGCUAAAGCUGGAGACGGCGGUGGAAACCGUUGGGCGAGAGUCCGGAAGAGGAGAGUGGAAUUCCCGGUGUAGCGGUGAAAUGCGCAGAUAUCGGGAAGAACACCCGUGGCGAAGGCGGCUCUCUGGGACGGUACUGACGCUGAGACGCGAAAGCGUGGGGAGCGAACAGGAUUAGAUACCCUGGUAGUC
rnacentral:rRNA from 1 species